UGGGGAAAUCUUGGACAAUGGGCGAAAGCCUGAUCCAGCUAUGCCGCGUGCGUGAAGAAGGCCUUCGGGUUGUAAAGCGCUUUUGUCAGGGAGGAAAUCCUAACUUUUAAUACAGGUUGGGGAUGACAGUACCUGAAGAAUAAGGACCGGCUAACUACGUGC
rnacentral:rRNA from 1 species